rnacentral:lncRNA from 1 species
AUGCAUAAAUCACAUGUUGAUCAUGGCCAUACUCCCUGUUUCUGCCCUCUGUCCUCUACUCUCCAUCCCACCCCCUUCCCAGCUCUUCCAGCUCCUCCUCUAUUUUCAGAUUUUUUUCUUUCUUUUUCCCCUCCAUGUUUUCACAUACAAGAGAAAACAUAUGAUACUUAUCUUUCUGUGUCUGGUUUAUUUCACUUACAUUUCAGUUCCAUCCAUUUUCCUGAAAAUGAGUUUCAUUCUUCUGUAUGGCUGAAUAAUAUUCCUCUGUGUGUCUGUGUGUGUGUGCGCGCGCGUGUGUGUGUGUGUGUGUAG